CAGUCGAACGAUGAAGCCCUUCGGGGUGGAUUAGUGGCGAACGGGUGAGGAACACGUGAAGAAUCUGCCCUCCACUUUGGGAUAACUCCGGGAAACCGGGGCUAAUACCGAAUAUUGAAACAUAAGUGGCAUCACUGAGUUUUGAAAGAAUUUCGGUGGAGGAUGACUUCGCGGCCUAUCAGCUUGUUGGUGAGGUAAUGGCUCACCAAGGCGACGACGGGUAGCCGGCCUGAGAGGGCGACCGGCCACACUGGGACUGAGACACGGCCCAGACUCCUACGGGAGGCAGCAGUGGGGAAUAUUGGGCAAUGGACGAAAGUCUGACCCAGCGACGCCGCGUGCGGGAUGAAGGCCUUCGGGUUGUAAACCGCUUUCAGCAGGGAAGAAGCGAAAGUGACGGUACCUGCAAAAGAAGCACCGGCUAACUAUGUGCCAGCAGCCGCGGUAAUACAUAGGGUGCAAGCGUUGUCCGGAAUUAUUGGGCGUAAAGAGCUCGUAGGUCGUUAGUUACGUCGGGUGUGAAAAUCUGGGGCUCAACCCCAGACCUGCACUCGAUACGGGCUAGCUAGAGUUUGGUAGGGGAGACUGGAAUUCCUGGUGUAGCGGUGGAAUGCGCAGAUAUCAGGAGGAACACCAAUGGCGAAGGCAGGUCUCUGGGCCAAUACUGACACUGAGGAGCGAAAGCGCGGGGAGCGAACAGGAUUAGAUACCCUGGUAGUCCGCGCCGUA
rnacentral:rRNA from 1 species